rnacentral:lncRNA from 1 species
AUUUUUUUCCUCUGUCCGGUGGUAUUGUCCUCGGCGGAAACAUUUAAGAUGCCAUUGGCAUCAAUGUCAAAGCAGACAGUUAUCUGAAGAAUACCCCUUGGUGCAGGAUGUAUACCAGAGAGCUCAAAUUUACCCAACAAGUUGUUGUCUUUUGUCCUUGCUCUCUCUCCCUCGUAAACCUGAAUUAACUCUUCAGAUUGGUUAUCAGAAUAAGUUGAAAAUAUCUUCUUUCUCUUUGCAGGAAUGGUGGUGUUCCUUGGAAUCAGGACAGUCAUAAGUCCUCCAGCAGUUUCGAGUCCUAGCGAUAAAGGGGUGACAUCCAAAAGGCGCAAAUCUUUAACUUUCACAUUACCCUCUCCACUAAGAAUGGCUGCUUGCACAGCAGCG